GUAGCUGCUGAGAAACACCUUCAAACGAGAGGAAAGCCUUCAUGAACGUUGAGAUCAGGACAGAUAAAUAAAGGGUCACGGGGGCGCCGGAGUCUAACCCGCUCAUGGGCGAAGGCAGGAUACGUCCUGGACCGGUCACCAGUCUGUUACAAAUGUUUCCAGAAAUGUUUUUUUUUUUUCUAUUUUUUACAGAAACCAGAAAUGCUACAAAUGGGGGUCUCUG